AGUGAACGCUGGCGGUAGGCCUAACACAUGCAAGUCGAACGGCAGCACAGUAAGAGCUUGCUCUUACGGGUGGCGAGUGGCGGACGGGUGAGGAAUACAUCGGAAUCUACUUUUUCGUGGGGGAUAACGUAGGGAAACUUACGCUAAUACCGCAUACGACCUACGAGUGAAAGCAGGGGAUCUUCGGACCUUGCGCGAUUGAAUGGGCCGAUGUCGGAUUAGCUAGUUGGCGGGGUAAAGGCCCACCAAGGCGACGAUCCGUAGCUGGUCUGAGAGGAUGAUCAGCCACACUGGAACUGAGACACGGUCCAGACUCCUACGGGAGGCAGCAGUGGGGAAUAUUGGACAAUGGGCGCAAGCCUGAUCCAGCCAUACCGCGUGGGUGAAGAAGGCCUUCGGGUUGUAAAGCCCUUUUGUUGGGAAAGAAAAGCAGCAGGUUAAUACCCCGCUGUUCUGACGGUACCCAAAGAAUAAGCACCGGCUAACUUCGUG
rnacentral:rRNA from 1 species